AAGGCCCUAGCUUAAUUAAAGCAUCUGGGUUGCAUUCAGACGAUGCAGGUUAAUGUCUUGCGGGUCUUA
rnacentral:tRNA from 1 species